AAACUUACCUGGUUAGGGUCAAUGGAUGAUCAGGAACAUUCAAGGCCUAGAUUGAUGACCUCCAUUGCACUUUGGAGGGGUGUCUAUCUAAGGUAUCCUCAAGUAGGAGACCCUAUAUCAUAAUUUGUGGUAGUGGGGGCUUGCGUUCGCGCGACCCCUAU
rfam:Glycine max cultivar Williams 82 chromosome 18, whole genome shotgun sequence.